UACAGUUUGNUCCUGGCUCAAUAACGAACGCUGGCGGCAGGCCUANCACAUGCAANUCNANCGGGGACUUCCNUCCUAGCGGCGGACGGGUGAGUAACGCGUGGGAACGUACCCUUUGCUACGGAAUAGCCUCUGGAAACGGGGAGUAAUACCGUAUGUGCCCUUUGGGGGAAAGAUUUAUCGGCAAAGGAUCGGCCCGCGUUGGAUUAGGUAGUUGGUGGGGUAAUGGCCUACCAAGCCGACGAUCCAUAGCUGGUUUGAGAGGAUGAUCAGCCACACUGGGACUGAGACACGGCCCAGACUCCUACGGGAGGCAGCAGUGGGGAAUCUUAGACAAUGGGCGCAAGCCUGAUCUAGCCAUGCCGCGUGAGCGAUGAAGGCUUAGGGUUGUAAAGCUCUUUCAGUGGGGAAGAUAAUGACGGUACCCACAGAAGAAGCCCCGGCUAACUCCGUGCAGCAGCCGCGGUAAUACGUAGGGUGCAAGCGUUAAUCGGAAUUACUGGGCGUAAAGCGUGCGCAGGCGGUCCUGCAAGACAGAUGUGAAUCC
rnacentral:rRNA from 1 species